rnacentral:rRNA from 1 species
CCUACGGGAGGCAGCAGUCGAGAAUCAUUCACAAUGGGGGAAACCCUGAUGGUGCGACGCCGCGUGAAGGAAGAAGGCUUUCGGGUUGUAAACUUCUUUUAAGGGGGAAGAGCAGAAGACGGUACCCCUUGAAUAAGCCACGGCUAACUACGUGCCAGCAGCCGCGGUAAUACGUAGGUGGCAAGCGUUGUCCGGAUUUACUGGGUGUAAAGGGCGUGCAGCCGGAGAGACAAGUCAGAUGUGAAAUCCACGGGCUCAACCCGUGAACUGCAUUUGAAACUGUUUCCCUUGAGUGUCGGAGAGGUAAUCGGAAUUCCUUGUGUAGCGGUGAAAUGCGUAGAUAUAAGGAAGAACACCAGUGGCGAAGGCGGAUUACUGGACGAUAACUGACGGUGAGGCGCGAAAGCGUGGGGAGCAAACAGGAUUAGAUACCCGUGUAGUC